UCUCCUCGCUUUUCCAACUCCUUCCUUCCUUCCUUCCUCCUUCCUUCCUUCCUUCCUCCUCCUCCUGAGAGAGCGCAGAGGCGCAGGAACACAUCCCCUCCUCAGCCUCCUCCCCUCUCCUCUUGGAUUCCCCAAUGCAAAGAGCCCUUCUGCCUCCGCCUCCUAUUGCAAUUAUGUACCACACACACAUAUGUAUAUACAAAAAAAACCACACUUGCUCUUGCAGCGGUUUCUUUCUCCAGCUCAAAGCAGGAGAAACUCUCAAUCUCCGUAGAAAGGCUUUCGGAUUCCCCCACCCUACUUUCCCAAGGGGAAGUGAAAACAACAGCCCUGCCGCAUUCUUGAGAGACUCAUUUACCUCUCCCCCCCCCUUUUUCCUAAUAACGUGAUCAGGUCCUCGGCUGCAUAACACUCUGGACCUGAGAAAUGUCGGAACUACUUUCAGGAACAUACGCAGCAAGAGGAAGAGCAGCGGCGCAAGCACAAAGGAGACUAACCGACUAAGGAGACUAACCGGAGGCUGCUGCUUUCUGCAGAACCUGAGAUCUUGGAAAUACUUAUCUUCUCUAGAACCAUCUACACUGGCAUCUUCCGAUGGGCUCCCUGAGAUGUUUGAAGCUGGGAAAUCUUCAGUAUUAACACAGUCUGUGUUGACACAUGGGAAUUACCCCUGGGAUGUGCAGAACCCUACUGAGGCUCAGAAUAUCCUCAGAUCCCCCAAACCCUCUAACAUUAACUGAUGAGUUCUGAUGUUGAAGAAAUAACAGUUAUGAGGUUCUGAAAGGCUGUACCACAUACCAGCCAAGCAGUGCAUUUUGCAAUAGGCUUGGCCCUACUACCAUUAAUUGAUGCACAGCAGUCAAGAUGGAAAAGUUCGCUGUUUGAGAAAUGACAAAAUCUGGGAUUUACUCCCGGUGCUCUUCUUGCAAAACUGGCUUGUUUCUGUGCUGAUGCGAUUGUAUGCCAGAAAUCAAUGACAAAUGGUAUUAUAUAGGAACCCAUUGAGGUAAAAUUUUGGGGUUUGGUUGGUUAAACACACAGAUUCGUAACUCUGUAUACUGAUUGUAUUCUUCUAUUCAGUGCUUAUUUUAUGUAUU